rnacentral:lncRNA from 1 species
GUCAAAAUUAUGGUAUGCAUCAAUCUCAUAUAGAUUGGAAGCUUUUCAUCCUCUGAUUUAUCAUAUCUUCUUUACAAGUACUUGUUUCAUUUUAUCAAAUUUGCAGGUAAUGUAUUUGUGCUAAUGUGUGUGAAGAUGAAAAUGAAUUACUGGACCUGCACUUCAAUACAUGAUGACAGGGCGUAGCAACUGGACAGAUGUAAGUACCAAUUUACAAUGUUUUUUUUUUUACAUAAUGUUUUAUUAUUAUUUUAUAAACAAUGUUUUAUUUGUUUGAAUAGCUUGAUUAGUAUUUCCCUUAAACCCCAUUAGACAUUUCCAUAUGUAUAAAAGCAUGAUUUUAAAGGGAUAAGAUUAUGUUGGAACAUAAAGUACAUCGGUGGGUUGAACUAAGCCCAACAAAGCCCAUAACCUAUAUAGUAAUAUUUUGGGCCAGCUAUCUAAAGACCAAGAGAUGUGUAGUUCUUAAACGGUAUGUAAAUUCGUUAGGUAAAGUAAACUAUGCGAGAUCCUCUAAAUACAUGAUUUUUCUAGGGUUUAAACUUAUAUUUUAAAAUUUAGGAAAAUCUAGUUUGCCUACGACUAUACAAUAUAUACCGUAUUGUUCUAUAAGUGUAGUUUUUUUGUAUAAUAUUCUUAAUUAAUUAUCAGGAAAUCAUUACAUUAAUUUUAAAAAAUUUAAAAUAUCAUCUUUGGUGUAGAAAUUUAGGAUAUUAUCUAACCAUAGGUGUGUGUGUGAAAAACUCAUGUGCUUAAAAUUUGUUUUCAUCAGCAAUGAAAAUUUUGUUGAAAUUAAGUUUUUUUAUCAGACAAAAUUAAGCUCCAGCCCAUUACAAUGAAAGUAUAUAGAAGAAAACUAUCAACUAAAUACAAUAUCAUAUCAGUACUACAUAUUGAAGAUACACCACAUAGAAUCCCAACUAGGCACUACAAUGUUAUAUUCCUACUGUACUGACAACCCCACCAACAAUUGCUGAACAAAACAGAAAACUGCAAGAUUUUCACAAGAGUUAAUUCUAGAGGCCCAUGAUUUCUAGUCAGGACGCAUAUUGCAUAAAAAACCAAAGAAAACACAAGAAAUUAGAACCAGUAAUAUUACUAUUUGUUCCCUGCACAAUAGCUGAUUUCACAGACACUUCUCCUCAUCAAUUCAGCACGCAGAAUGCAAGGUCAAGAAAUUCAGCACCACAGCUCUCAUAGAAAGAAAUUAAACCCCAUUUAGCUUUAAGCCAAUUCUACUUAAGACCUCAAUUGAGCUAAAUCAACCACCCUACUCACAUCCAAUACAUCAUCAGAGAACACAACAAUAUAUCUGCAAAUCCAAAUGGACCAUGUAAAUGCAAUUCAAAUUAAACUGCCCUUCUUCCAUGAAUUUGACUCUUGUUCCUACAUUCAAACACAUGUUGUUCAAAAUGCAUCCUAUGAUGCCAAACAAUCCAAGAAAAAGAUCAAGAUAUGAGGUGUUCAGUUCAGCCAAUAAAGUUGAAAUUACUUUGCCAUGACUGAUGUGUGUUCCAGAAAAUUUAGGAAAUUUAACUAACUUCCAAAACUUACUGUGCCAGUCAACUUUUACAACCUUUCAAACAAUCAAAUAAUUUUCCUUUAGAUUACAGUCAUCCACAUGAUUGAGAUUGAACUUCACCGAAAUUCCUAGCAGCAGCUUCUUUAGAAUUGAAGUUGACACUGUUACGUUUCUCCACACCCAAAUUGACCAGAUAAAAGCCUAAUAAACAAUAAGCCAAUUCCACAAUCUAUAGAUUAAAUCAGCAACUCUGCCUGUAUGUACGUUUAGAUUUCCAUUAAACUCAAUGUAGAUCCACGUUAAAGUUAACAUGUCAAAAUCCUACUUCUCUAUUCCAGGUUUCUAUGUUCUUCAAAAGCGCCAUGAGAUAAGCGUUGCGUUGAGUUGACUCAACACCAAAACAAAAAUGCACCAUGUCAAAUGAUCCAGUGACGCUAAACAGGAUAUUAUAUCUAUCGAUAUUAUCCCCAAACUUUGACAGCAUCCAUCUCAAAAUAAGAAAAGAGACCAACUAACCCAAUUACAUAAAAGGUUCAUUCUAUGACAUUCUUGUUUAGCUAAGUAGUUGGAUAUAAUGUUAGAUUCUCUGUAUAUGUGCAAUUGACAUGUUAACUUUCUGAAAUCAAUCCUGUUUAAAUAAUUGAGGAGUUUGCAAGGUCGAUUCUCUUUUCAAUUCAUUCAAUCCCUCGUGAAAGUUAAAUUACUUUUUGGUAUGACAUUAAUAAUGUAGAAUAAAAAAAUGUAAAAAAUUCAGAAUUGUUUAAAUGCCUAGCUAGUGGUCACUGGUCACCGAUGAAUUUUGAGAAAAAUUCCAACACCACCAUUUUGUGAUUCCGUUUUUUUUAUAGACAAAUGUUAGUUGUUAGAAAUGUUAGUAAAUUAGUCUUUCUUCCGGGUUCGAACCCGGACCCUUCACCUUUAUCCCACCCAACCUGUAUGUCCCUAGCUCUUACCACUUGAGCAAUCCUUCGGGGACACCUUCAAUCUCGCUUGGGCUUGAUUUAUAAGUAUAUAGAACUUAUUAAUAUUCAUUACGAAUUUUUCUAUUACUUCUCAAAUCACUAGAGGAAUUUCUAAAUAAAGGGGAAAUAAUUUUUUUUCUUUUCAUCCUUUUUAUAUAUGAACUGGGCACUCUUUUCUUGUUUUCAUUGAUGACCAUUUCAGUGGGGUAAGCGCUAUAGUGACAGGUUUUAUCAAUUUUAUGUUGUUAUUACUGUAUCCUUGUUGAGAGGGGUUAUUUCUCAACACUCUCUUUAUACUAUAUUAUAUGUCCUUUUGCUUUAAAAAAUAUAUAUCAAUUCUAAAAAAAAUAAAAACCGGUUGUUGAUUCAUAAUGUCAGUAUCUUUACUGUAUUAUGCUCAAGUUAGGUAUUUUUGUUGUAUAUUCUGCUUACCGGUAUGUAUCAGCAUGUGCUGGGUUGAGUACAGAGUACCCUUGUACUCAGUUAAUAUUGGAGCUAAUGUUUCUCUGCUGCAUUUUUGCUGUCUCUGACUGACUGACUCUAAGGAGUAGUAUUUUGGGGGUGGGGAUUCUCUCAAGUGGGGAAAAACUUGAGAAAAUAAUGUGAGUAGAUCUCAACCCUCCAUUUCUUUUAAAACAGAUCAUAGGCUGAAACUAAAGGAAACUUAAAUAGUGUCUUUUAUGUGUGAUGUACCCAAUCAUUUCUUUAUUUGGAUUAAAUCAGUUUCUCUACCCAGUUCUCAUACUAUAAGAUUAACACACCAAACUCCAUUUCAUUUUCGUGUAGUAUGAUACAUGUAUGUAAAUAGUAUUAAAGUUUUCCAAAAUUUAUAAAAUUAACACAGCCAAUUUACUCUUUUCUUUUCUUGAUACCUCUAAUUUUUUCUGGAACCAACAAAUAUCUAGUGACCAUUUGAAAAUUUUGAUUGGGUAAAAGUCCUAUCUUCAGCUUCCAUGAACACGGUGGUGAUGUGCAGUGCUUGAUAAAGAAUAGAGGUGAUGGAAGGGUUGAAGGAAAUAGAAGAAAUAAUCAACCCACUUGAGAGAACCUUAUCUAAUCCACACAAGAAAAUGAUCGGGUACAUCACACAUAAAAUACACUAUUUAAUUUUCUCUUAGUUUCAGUCUUUGAUCUAUUUUAAAAGAAAUGGAGAGCUGAGAUCUACUCACAUUAUUUCCUCAAGUUUUUCCCCACUUGAGAGGAUCCCCACCCGGUAUUUUGGGAGUUGGAUGGGUGUUUUGAAAUGCAUUUUUGCCUGUAGUGGAUUUUUCUGAGUCUUGAGUGUUGAGCUAAUUUAAUUUGUAGUUCUUUAUCUUCUGUUUAUGAUAAUGAUUUAAGGCUGCUUUGGAUUUUGGGGGAGAAACUUUUGGUGGUGUAUAAUUUACUUCGGAUGUACUUAUCCUUGAGAUAAUUGUAAUUAUUUCAAUUAUCUCUAUUACUAUACAUAAACUUGUAUAUCUAUUUUUUGCGAGAUCAAGAUUGUCUGACUCUAGAGUCUACACAGACUCAUUUUGGGGAAGUAAACUCAUUUCGUCGAGUUAACUCGUAGACUCGUAAGAGUCUAUCAAAAUAAAAACCUUAAUAAAACUUGUCAUAGUGUAUAAAGAAUACAUACUACAACCACCAAGGAGACAUUAACCAAAUAAAUUCAACUAUCAACUUCAUAAUAAAGUAAAGUUCAAUAAAAUACAUAAACAAUCAAAGUACCAAGAAUGCAUAAUUCAUAAUAAAGUUUUAGAUAAAGCUAAAAAAUUUGAAGUGGCGACGGCAACUUGCAGCGAUGAUGUCUCCUCUUCUCCUAGGGUUCGAAUGUGGAUGAGAAUGUUGGAUUGAAAUGAGAAAUCUCAUCUUUCUCUGAGUCUUUGUUGAAAGCUUUUCAUGAAAACCCAAAAUUACCUCAUUUAAUUUGAGGAUUUAGGGAAAAAAACGUUUUCUCUGUGACUCGGUGUAGAAUCACGAGUCUAUGCGAGUGUAACGAGUUAGCAAGAGUUUGCUCGAAUCUUGAAAUUUUAGAGUUUACUUAAGAGUUAACUCGUUUUGGGACCUAAAAACGUAGAAUCGUAAGAGUAAGGCCCUUGUGCGAGAUUGAAAAUAUUUGACUCUAAAGUGUUGGAGUUACUCUAGAAGGGUAAGGCCCUUUUAUUUUAUCAGCAAAGAAGUUUCAUUCCGGAGGUGUAAGUGUUAGCAUGGCCAAUUUUAUUGAGUGCUUUUUUGUAUUAUCGACCAAUUUUCAUCCAAUAAAGUUUUUAGCUUUAGAAAAAAAUACAAGCGGUAGCAAAAGGCUAGAUACACUUGAACUGGUUACAAGGCUGUCAAAACAUUGAGAAUGAUUCAUAUAAUAAUCAAGUCUCUCUGCAUUUUGGCUUUAAGCGAACUCUCCAUGACCAAAAUUGGGUUACAUUAGAGUUACUCUAUAUCCACUUUAUAAGAGGAGAUUAAUUCAAAACAGAAAUAUUUUCUAAGGUAUUUUGUAAUUUUCUGCAAGAUGACUAGUCUUUUGUCUAACCAUCAUUUCCAGAGAUUCAUAAUAUGUAUUUGUCUAACCUUUAUUUUUAAAAAUAAAAGAGUGUUUUAAUCACAGUUUUUGAGAACAAAGUUGAAAAAAAAAAAAGCAAGAGUGAUUAAUAACAAUAAAAAGCUAAUAACCCCACAACGUAAGAGAAUGUCUUAAAAAAUAACAAGCGAUAAAGCUAUACAACAACCAAAAACCCCAAACCCACCUAAUUAAAGCACAGAAACCCCAAUACAGCAAAAUCCAACCCAAUAGUUAAAAGACCAAAUGCAAGGACCAAAAGAACUCAAAGGUCAAGAGAUACCCCACCACAGUACAACAAAACCAAAGAUAAAGCACCCAGUUCAGAUGCUAGCCUUUAUUGAAUCUAUACUAACAUUUAGUACAUCUAUUUACAAUAUGCUCUGUAUGUUUAAAAUUAAUUUAUGAUACUAUUUUUAAUUUAUGAACUAGAUUAUUCUUAAUUCGUGAUAGAUAAAAGUGCUAGGAAAUUAGUAUCUUAGAAGCAUUAAUUCCUAUGAAAUACUUUUUUUUUUUAUGUUGAAUCUAAAACUAUUUUAUGAAAUAGCAAUAAUAGAAACCCUAAAUUUUCUACUAAUUUUUUUUCUUUCUUUCCUUCCCUUUCCUUAAUUUUCUGUCGUUUUCCUGUGGUCUUCAAUUUUCUUCCAGUUCGAAGUCAAGUGUCGGCCAAAGAAUCACAGAGAAAGUGAUCAAGUGACAUUAUUUGGCUAAAAUAAUAAAAAAUAAAUGAUCAAACUUAUAAGUGGGAUUAGUUAUGGGAUUUUGUUUUCUUAGACACAAACAAACUUUGUUGUCUUUUCUCUCAACGCAACCUAAGAUCCCCCUUUCUCUUUCUCUUUCUCUUUUCCCUCUCAGCUGCCUCUGUUAAACCCUAUUUCCUACCAACAACAUUCCAAUUACUUUUCUCUCAACGCUCAAUCUAAUGUUUGCUUAAACUGUUUCCAGUUUUCAGUUUCUUCUUCCCACAGAAAAACGUUUCAGAAAAGAUGGUGGACGUACGUGCGGAAAAAGUGCUGGAUUGAAGGUAUGUUAAUAUUUAAAAUUUUUGGGUAAAAAUUGUAUAGUAGCCAGC